AUUCAUGCUCAGGACGAACGCUGGCGGCGUGCUUAACACAUGCAAGUCGAACGAUGAUGCCCAGCUUGCUGGGUGGAUUAGUGGCGAACGGGUGAGUAACACGUGAGUAACCUGCCCUUGACUUCGGGAUAACUCCGGGAAACCGGGGCUAAUACCGGAUAUGAGCUACCUUCGCAUGGGGGUGGUUGGAAAGUUUUUCGGUCAAGGAUGGGCUCGCGGCCUAUCAGCUUGUUGGUGGGGUGAUGGCCUACCAAGGCGACGACGGGUAGCCGGCCUGAGAGGGCGACCGGCCACACUGGGACUGAGACACGGCCCAGACUCCUACGGGAGGCAGCAGUGGGGAAUAUUGCACAAUGGGCGAAAGCCUGAUGCAGCGACGCCGCGUGAGGGAUGAAGGCCUUCGGGUUGUAAACCUCUUUCAGCAGGGAAGAAGCGCAAGUGACGGUACCUGCAGAAGAAGCGCCGGCUAACUACGUGCCAGCAGCCGCGGUAAUACGUAGGGCGCAAGCGUUGUCCGGAAUUAUUGGGCGUAAAGAGCUCGUAGGCGGUUUGUCGCGUCUGGUGUGAAAACUCGAGGCUCAACCUCGAGCUUGCAUCGGGUACGGGCAGACUAGAGUGCGGUAGGGGAGACUGGAAUUCCUGGUGUAGCGGUGGAAUGCGCAGAUAUCAGGAGGAACACCGAUGGCGAAGGCAGGUCUCUGGGCCGCAACUGACGCUGAGGAGCGAAAGCAUGGGGAGCGAACAGGAUUAGAUACCCUGGUAGUCCAUGCCGUAAACGUUGGGCACUAGGUGUGGGGCUCAUUCCACGAGUUCCGUGCCGCAGCAAACGCAUUAAGUGCCC
rnacentral:rRNA from 1 species